GCGGCGGGGGGGGGGGGGGGGAGACAAAACCACCAAAUUAUUCAAUCAAACGAGCGCGCGAGGCUGAAGUUAGCUUCUGAUUCCGGCUUGCGAUUCUGGAAAUGGCUAAAGGGCAAUUGCACCCAAUUUGGCUCUUCUCUGGCCAUCUCAUGUGCUCUAGCUCAACACUGCUCGUGUAAUCUGGUCGUGGAACUGUGCACCCGUAGCCUAGCGAACUCGAACAAAUUCUUGCUUUAUAAUAUAUUUAUUUAGUCUGGCUUGCCAGGCUAGUGGGCCCACUCUUUACCCUUGCUAGGGUGGUGGACGGGUCAUGGGAGUUUGCCCAACCACUCCACAUGUGUUUUGUGGAUGUGGAGAAGGUUUGUGACCGUGUCCCCAUGGGCACCCUGUGGGGGCGCUCCGGGAGCAUGGGGUGAAUGGUCUUCUGUGAGUUUGGUCCGCAUAGACCGAACACCGGCAGUAAGUUGGACCUUUUCCCAGUGAGGGUUGGAGCCCACCAGGGCUGCCCUUUGUCACUGGUCCUGUUCAUAAUGGACAGGAUUUCUAGGCACAGCCGUGGUGUGGAGGUUGUCGAGUUUAGUGGCAGGAGAAUCUCAUGUCCGCAUUUUUGCGGAUGAUGUGGUCCUCCUAGCGUCUUCGAGCUUGGAACUUCAGCUCUUGCUGGGGAGGUUUGCAGCUGAGUGUGAAGCGGCUGGGAUGAGGAUCAGCUCCUCCAAAUCUGAGUCCAUGCAUGCUUCUCGACUGGAAAAAAAGUGGUUUGCCAACUCCGGGCUGGGAGAGAUGUUCUCCCCCAAGUGGAGGAGUUUAAGCAUAGACAGAUGAGUUUAAGUAUCUCUGUGUCUUGUUCUGUGAGGGACGGAGGGAGCAGAAGAUCGCCAGGUGGAUUGGGGCAGCUUCUGCAGUGAUGUGGACACUGAACCGAUCUGUCGUGGUGAAGAGGGAGCUGAGCCAGAAAGCCAGGCUCUCGAUUUACCGGUCAAUUUAUAUCCCAAUCCUCACCUAUGGUCAUGAGCUUUGGGUAAUGACCUAAAGAACAAGAAAGAGAUACAAGCGGCCGAAAUGAGUUUCCGUCGCAGGGUGGCCGGGCUUAGCCUUGGGCAUAGGGUAAGGAGGGACAUCUGGGAGGGACUCGAAGUAGAGCCGCUGCUCCUCUGCAUCGAAAGGAGCAAGUUGAGGUAGUCGUGGUGCUAGGUAAUGCCUGGAAAUGGGGUUCUUGUCCUCCAGCUAGUGUGGAUGUGUGUGACAGUGUGAGCAUCCUGUCACUGUAUCUCAAUUUAGCCACAUGUGCGCUGUUAACCGAAUGUAAGCAAUAACAUGCAAUGCGUCUAUGUAUUAGAUUUGUUUUUGUAAAUACUGGAAGAAGUCAGGAAAUCUUCUAGAAAGAGGAAACUUCCAUCAAUAUUUGUUGAUAAGGAGCAAGAGGGCUCUAAAUGGUUUUCCAUCACAAAUGCAUGCAGAAACAAAACUUCCAUGAACAUCUGUAGUUAAAGAUUCCUGUGUGGAUAAAGACGAUUUGUCAUCACAGCUACAAGAUUCUUCAGAUGAAGGACCGUCCACCAUCACCAGCAACAGGUAAUGAGAUGGGAUGCUGCUGGAGAUGUUCCACAUCUUCUAAACUCUUGGAAAACAGAGUCAGACCUGGGUACCGUCCUCCACGACACCAAGAUGUAUCCCCAGAAGAGCCCCUGGCUAUCAGCUGCCUCUCACCACCAGCUCCACAAACAAAUCAGCAACAAGCAGCAGAAGCAUGCAAUGACACAUCAACUAUUUCAGGUGUUAGUAAACAGAGAUGGGGAAUUGUGGUACAAACAAAAGGGGCGCCUCCAGAAAAUUUUGAUAAGAGUGGCCAGAUGGGGCCAAAGACAUUUUUGGGGUGGCACACCAAAUUGGUCCUUGUGGUAACUCUGGGAGAGUUUAGCCUGUGGCGAUGCACUGCAUUGCUCCUUUAUUCGUUUUUAUUAAAACAAAAAAAAAUAACUGUAUGUACUCAGAACACUUCACUCAAAUCUUACAAACACAAACAUUUCAGAAAAAUACAUUUAUUAUUUAAUUUUUUUUUCCAAAUGUAUUUAAAUUACUUUUUUUGUUUAAUUUACCUGUUGCUGUAUUCACAAAA